GUGGUACAUGUGACUGUUCCUAAGAGAAUAAUUCCUACCAUCUCCAUUGGACACAACACUAUCAUCAUGAGUGUUAGCAUCAGUGGUUUUUAUCGUCUGAAUGACAGAUCUGAUGAGGACUGCAAGGUGAAAUAUGUCAGCCAUUGCAUUAUCAUCAUAUCAGGUCAGGCAGGUACUAUAAUUUUUCUUUACAAAUAAAAUAUUAGAUUACAUCUUGAACUAUAACAUUUAGAUGCAAUAUUAUAUUUUGAAUUUACAGUGUUGAAGGAAACCAAGAAUUGUGUGUAAACUCAAUGGAUCCAUCAUUCUGAUGUUGGAUUAUAUCUUUCACUAACAGAUCUUCUGCUGAUGGGCAAAGGUGGUGCUAUGAGAUGAAUGCAUAUCUUCAGUGGGAAUGUUGCUCAUCAAACUCUGCUCUU